rnacentral:lncRNA from 1 species
UAGGCUGAAAAAUGACCCCCUCCUAUCACCUGCCAAGAUAUCAGAUCUUAAUUCUUUGAACUUAUAAAUGGUACCUCAUAUGGAAACAGGGUUUUUACAGAUGUAAUAAAGUUACGGAUCUUGAAAUGGGGAGAUUAUCUUGGAUUAUCAGAGUGGGCCCUAAAUGCAGUCACGUGUAUCCUGGUCAGAGGGAGAUCUGACACACACUGAUGCUGUGCGAUGGGAGAGCAGAGAGAGAUUCGGAGAUGCUGGCGGAUUGGAGCGAUGCAGACCACAAGCUGAGGAAAACCAGCAGCCCCCAGAAGCUGGAGGAGGCAAGGAAUGGAUUCUUCCUGGAUCCACCAGAGGGAGCACGGCGCUGCCAGUACCUUGCUCGUGACCCAUGACACUGAGUGGAUUUCUGGCCUCAAGAACCGUGAGAGAAUGAAUUUUUAUUGUUUUAAGCCAUCAAGUUUGUGGAGAUUUGUUACAAUAGCCACAGGAAAACUAAUACACGUACCAUACAAAUCACCCAUUAAAAGUGUACAAUUCUAGAGUUUUUAGUGUAUUCACAGAGUUGUGCAACCAUUACCACAAUCAAUUCUAGAACAUUUCAUCACCCCACAAGGAAACCUUGUACCAAUUGUCGGUCACCCUCAUUCCCUCCACCUCCCCAGUGCUAGGCGACUGCUAACCUACCUUCUGUCCUCUAUAGAUUCGUCUAUUCUGGGCAUUCAUGUAAAUGGAAUCAUACACUACAUGGUCUUUUGAAUCUGGCUUCUUUUGCUCAGCUUAGUGUUUUCAAGAUUCAUCCAUGUUGUAGCGUGUAUCAAUACUUCAUUUCUUUUUACUGCUGAAUAAGAACAUGACUUUGUAAUAUCAGGUUAUAAGUUUAAAAUGUCUGUGAGAAAAUCCUGAUCAAGACCUUUUUUAAAACGGCAAUCUUUUCAAAAUAUUGGUAGUCACCACAGAAAUUUUGAGAAGCCAGUGAUUAAAAAUGUUUAGUCUAUUACAGCCAUUAUAAAAUUUAUAAUGGUUGAAAUUCUAUUUAAAGACUCUAACAGCUGAUUCUUUGCUCUCAUUGACAAAUGUGAUGUUGGACUUUCUUGUGGUAAUGUGAAUUUCCAGUCCAAUAGAAGUUUUUCAUAGCAAAUGUUUCAAGAUACUGAUAAAGCCUAUUAGUGCUUGGGCACCACUAAGAGAGCACAGUAGCCACCAAUGGGCAGAUGUACAGGAUGGAUGUGGAGACAAAGAGUGGGGCCAUACCUGAAGCGGGUGUGCUAGCAGCCUCAGCUCAGCCUCUUAGACCUGCUGCAUGUCUGCCCUGCUCCUUCCCUAGCACCUGCGACAGCCCUUGACCACAGGGACGGAGGUGUGCUGCAGUGGGCCACUGAAAUAGACAGCCAGAUGGCAGGGCAUCUCCUUGGUCUCUCUCAUCCUGUCAUGUUGGGACAAGGACUCUGGGUGUCUCUUGUGUCCUUUAUUGUUCUCAGCCCAUCAGAGCCCACUCCACUGGGACUGCCCUUUGAGGAGCCUUUGACAGAUUUCUCUAAGUCAGAGGUGUCCAACAGCCCUGUGUCGCAUUCAUGGUUCACACUCAGCACACCCAUUGCAAAGCUCUGCUCCAGGUUGGCUAUGAGCAUUUGGGGCCUGUAUGUGAUGGAAAAUAGCAGGAGGGCACAUGGAGUUACCCCUGGUUUUGCAGUCUUGUCAAAUUUCUAUGGAGCAAUGACUGCUUCAGACCUCUCAUUUCCUUUCUUCCUGAGCUUUAGUACCUAUCCUGGCAUUGACUUGUAUCCUGGGUGUUUGGGAAGUAGAUAACUUGUCACAUUAGAUCACAGAUACUUCUGAUCAAGAGGAACCAUAUCCAAGGAGCUAUACCCGAGGAAGCCCAUCUUCAUCUGGGUUCAGGGGAUGAGGUCAUGGAUUUUGAGUAGAUGCUACAAUGAGAUGAGAUUCUGGCGGUCUUGGAAGGGGGUGAGUGUAUUUUGCAUUUGGCAGGAUGCACAUUAUUGUGGCUAGAUGAUGGAAUGUCUCAAAAAUAGGCGCCAUCUAUUCCCUCACUCUAUGCAUCCUCAUGCCACUCCUCCAUUAAGAGGUCGGUUUGUUCCCCCUCCCCUUGAGUCUGGGAUGGCUCUAUGACUGCAUUGACCAAUAGAAUACAGCAGAAGUGAGGUUCUAAAAUUUGUGUGGAAAUCCAAAGACCUAGAACGUCCAGAAAAAUCUUGAAAAAAAGAGUUGGAGGGCUCACAGUGUACUUUAACUUUGCAGUUAGUUAAGUGUGGUAUUGGAGUAAGAACAGACAUAUGGAUCAAUGGAACAGAAUAGAAAGUGCAGAAAUAAAGCCACAGGUAUGUGGCUAAUUGACUUUUACAAAUGUCCCACGGUAAUUCACUGGAGAAAGAAUAAUCUUCUCAACAAAGCAUGUUGGAAAAACUAGAACAAAUGUGUGAAGAAAAUGAAUCGCAACCCCCAUCUCAUACCACAUAUAACAAUUAAUUCAAAAUGGAUGAUAGACUAAACAUAAAAGCUACAGCUAUGAAGUUUUUAUAAGAAAACAUAGGAGAAAAUCUUCUCAAACUUGGGUUGGUAAACAUUUCUUAGAGAGGACACAACAAGCACCAAACAUAAUAGAAAAAAUUGAUGUAUUGGACAUCAUUGAAAAAUUUAAAAAUUUGCUUUUCAAAGGUACUAUUAAGAAAAUGAGGAGGCCGGCCCCGUGGCCAAGUGGUUAAGUUUGCGCUCUCUGCUGCGGUGGCCCAGGGUUUCACUGGUUCAGAUCCUGGGUGUGGACAUGGCACUGCUCAUCAGGCCAUGCUGAGGCAGCAUCCCACAUGCCACAACUAGAAGGACUCACAACUAAGAAUAUCUAACUAUGUACUGGGGGCCUUUGGGGAGAAAAAAGGAAAAAUAAAAUCUUAAAAAAAAAAGGAAAUGAAAAGCUAGUCAUAGACAGUGGGAGUGGGUAUCUGAGUAAGGACUUGUAUCCAGAUAUAUAAAAAAUUCCUACAAAUCCAUAGCAAAAUAUAAACAGGCAAAAGACUUGAAAAGACACUUCAUAAAAGAAUUUAUAAGAAUGGCCACUAAACGAAUGGAAAAGUGUUCAAUAUCAUCAAAUUAAAAUCACAGUGAGAGGCCACAUAAUCAUUAGAAUGGCUAAAAUUAAAGUCUGACAACACAAAUGUUGGAAGUAUGUGGAGCAACUGGAAUUCUCAUAAUUUGCAGGUGAACUAUGAAUUAAAAAUGAAGAGUGCUCAUAAUUUUUUGCUUAAAAAGUUAUACACACCUACUCUAUGACCCAGCAAUUUCACUCCUACAUAUUUACCCAAGAGAAAUCAAACCAUAUGCCUAUAACAAGACUAUAUUCGAAUAUUUGUACUAGAAUAUUUAUAGCAGUUUUAUUCAUAAGAGCCAAAACGUGAAAACAACCUAAAUGUCUGUUAAUAGGAGAAUGGAUUAGCAAAUGGUGGUGUAGUUGUGCAAUGGGAAUACAGCUCGUCAACAAAAAAGAGGAAACUACUGAUACACACAACGACACAGAGAUCUCAAACACUGUGCUGAUGAAAGAAGCUAGCCACAAAGAGUGCGCACUGCACGAUUCCAUUCGCAUAAAGUUGAAGAAGAGGCAAAACUAAUCCACGGUGAUAGAAAUCAGAACAGAGGAAGCCUCGGAGGGUAGGGUGGGAAAUGACUGCAGAGGGGGCACAGGGACCGUCUGGGGUAGAUGGAGAUGUUCUAUAUCUUGAUGGUGACGCUUCCAUAGGUGUUUACCUUUAACGAAACUCAUUAAAUUACAAACUUAAGAUAUGUGCAGUUUACUCUGUAUACAUUUUGUAUCACUUAACAAAUUGCAAAUUUAGAAAACCUAUAUGGAUUAGUGUCUCCUAGGCCUCAUCAUUUAGGUCUCAGUUUGAACGUCACCUCCUCGGAGAGACCUGCCCUGACCGGAGACGGUGGCCCUUGCUGCUCAGGCUGUAUCACGUAACGGACUUUUAUUUUCUGCAUAGUGCUUAUCUGUAUCCAAAAGCACAUUUAAAAAAUGAAUUAAUCCAUUGAUUAAGUGAUUGGUUGCUCCACUACCUCCCACUACAGUGUAAGUUCUGUGAAAACAGGGACUAUGUCCAUUUUGUUUUCGGCUUUGUCCCCAGUGCCUGGCACAUUGGGUUUGCCCAAUAAACAUUUGUUGUGAUUGAAUGAAUGAUGGAUACAAGAGCAGAAAAAUUAAACUGACUAAUAGAGAUUUUUCCUUCUGUUUGUAGAACGUGGGCUGGGCAGCAUACAAGGAGGCUUACCCUCAUCAGUUACUGACCAUCCACUUCUUCCAUUCCUUCCAGAAACAUUUUCCAGGUGCCUCCUGUGUGCUGAGUGCUGAUGGAAGCCUUGCACACCAGGUGCGAGCAGAUGAUCAGUGAGACUGAGACAGGAGACCUUCAGGACACAAGCUGCCGCUAGCCAGCCUGGGCGGCACUGUCAACAGCCCUCUCAGGAAGGAGCAAACAGCUGGUCUCUGAGUCCCUGAGGGAGGAGUAAGAGGAAGCAGAUUUAAAUUUCAACAGUGACAACACAGGCCUGACACAAAUGACAACUGUCGAAUUCUACAAGAUUUCCUUAAUUGGGCCUAAAAAGAGCAGCAGACAAGGUCCCUUUCUGACCUGAGGUUUGACAACUUCCUUCUCCCUUACUGGUGACCCUAUUCCAAGACAUACCAGCAGCCGUGAACAGAAGACAGGAGACCCUUGGUCAGUGGAUAAAAUUACAGUUGUGAGUAAAGUUCGAAGAUGGCAGCGCUGCACGUCUUUGUUCUUAGAAAGCUUCAUCUGGAGUGGUGGGGAGCUUCUUGGUCUGUAAGUCCUUCUUCAUUUUUCACCUAACAGGACAUAUUUAAGAGACCACGUCUCUCAAAACCAUCUCUGGCAGGGUUGCUGCCAAUAUCUGCUCCUUGCAAACAGCAAGGAGACUUAAAAACAGCAACAGCACGUCUCUAUGGGGCCCCCAGCUCUUUCUUUAUAAAUUCUUUCCCUUAAUAAAGAGAAAUUGUUGUGCUAUAUUGUGGCAGAGUUUGGGGCUUACAGAGAUAGAAUGGGAAGUAAAGGGCGACUGGCUGCCGCUGUGCAGGCGCUCUCUGAUUGUAAAACCAACCCAGUAACGGAUAAUAACCACCUUAGUGCGCUUAUCAAGGCAGUUCCUCUCUGGGAUGCAGAAGAGGCCACUGGAGACAACGCGCAGGCCUCUCACCGCUCCCGUUCAUUAACAAGGCACUGCUGGCUGCAGCUCAGGCUCCAUUACCUAGAGGCAACAAUGGCCGGGACCCGCAUUGAGUUGUAAUUAGGCUUGAUCAGGGCUAGGGUGCAGUUGCCAUAAUCAGGAUCACUCGGAAUUAAAUGUAUACUUGUGAAAGGAAAUGAGGUGAGAUUGAUUUAAUGGUAACCAAAGCAACCCCCUUUUCUGUAACCGUCUAAGCUUAAAGAGAGAGAGAAAGAGAGGGAGAGAGAAAAAGAAAAAAGCAGGGCAAAGGAAUACAGAAGAUGACCAUUUUAGUUUUAUGCAAUUUAUUGCAACUAGUUAGGAGAAAAUGUGUUUCAAUAAGAGCAAAUCUGUUCUAGCAAGGUGAUGGCUGGGUCCCAGAGAGCUUUGUAGGUCUCACUCCGUGCCUAAAGCAGAUCCUGUGAUUCUUAAUUUCCUCCUCCUUUUUGUCCAUUUCAUAUGUGUUUGGAAAUAGCCUGAUUAGGGCAAGAAUUUCAAUUUGCAGGAAAAGGAGGAGGAAAGUCAAGCUGGGCACUAUUUCCUUUCUCUGCUGAUAAUCAGUUCUUCAGUCUUUUACCUUUGGACCUAUGUAUAUCUCAGACCCAGUGACCGCCAGCUUAUCUGAGAGCAAAUAGAAGAUUUCGGAGACCUGUUUGUGAAACAGUUUAAGAAGUUGCAGAGAUGUGCACUAUUUUAUUCAAUUUUACUCAGUUGUUUUUCAGGUUAGCAAGAUGCCGCUCUGGGAAUAAAAUCUCACCCUUAAGGUUUGAGAUAAUUAGUGAAACGAGCGCAUAUGCAUACAUUUUCAUUUCUGCACAUACAUGCAGAUAUUGGUAUACAUGAUUUAUUCCAUUCAUACAUGUGUGAUCUCUAAUAUUUAGACAUCAUAAGUGAAAUAUUUGCUCUUUCUCUUUUCUCCCCCUUGGCAGAUUUAUGAAUCUCUUCCUACAGCACAUCAGGUUCAAAAGGAAAAAUAUCACAGUCAUUUUGAGGCUAGGAUACUGUUAAAUAUGUAGAGAAUGGCUUAAAGGGAGAAACUUUGUUUCUUAAAUACUUCUCAGAUGAUUAUGUGGAUGAGAAAAUGACGUGUAAAUAUUUUGAGCCAUUUGAGUGAGUAGCAAGUGUUGAAACAAAGUACAUUUCUUCCAGAUUUUAAAAAAAGAACUCUCUAGCUCUUUUUUUCUUUCUCUGUUGGAUAUAACACCUUAGCUAUUCAAAUAAUAAAACUAUAAUAACCUUCUGAAGAAAUCAUUGAGGUGAUUGGUACAUAUUAAUGCAUAUCUGACUAUGUGGACAUCUCAUGUGUAGGUUUGUAAGUGAACCUAAGUGAGGUCAUCUAGUUACGCUAAAUGGCCCAGCCCCUCCUCUGUGUGACCACCCGCUGCUCUGCGCGUACUCUAAACAGUUCACAUGCUCUCUUGAUUGAUGGCCUUCGCUUAUGUGUGUACUCCUCCAUAGCUUGGUAAAUUAAAACUUUGUUCUAUGAGUUUCUCUCCAGGAACAGGCUGACCACAGGCCGGAAACACACCUACAAGGUAUUCAGCAUCAGUGACAGAAGAAAAGAACAACGAAGACCCUGGAGUCCGUCCUGCCUGAAGGCUGACAUUUCUAAACCCCCUCCUUACUGCCCAUUUUCCUGAUGUAACUGCCUCAAGAUUCUGUAAUCCUUGAAGAUGGUUUUUUUGAGACAUUAUUCUGCCAUCUUUCUGAUUAUGCCAGCUAAUUGAAUUAAAGCGUCAUUUCUUGGUCUCUAACGUGAUUCAUUGGCUCAGAUCUCAGUAAGCAGAGAAAUCCCAUUGCUCUGUAUCAGGUUUAGUCUUUACGUCACAUGUUAAUUAGGAUUUUUGCGGUUUGAAUAAAGCAUCACAUUUAGCUAAAAUUUAUUUCAACUCCUCUACAGCUGGAGAUCUUAUAAAACCUUAAACAUAUACUUCAAAUCUAUU